rnacentral:tRNA from 1 species
GUGGAGCAGUUGGUAGCUCGUCGGGCUCAUAACCCGAAGGCCGUAGGUUCAAGUCCUGCC